AGGACUAUACUUUCAGGAUCAAUUUCUUUAGUUGGUUGACUUGAGACAAUGUGUUUCUAAAGAGUUUGGGUCUCGCGCCCCCGAUGAAGAGUUCAGAAUGUUUCCUUCCAGAGCAGGGAAUUGGGGAAGACGUUUUUCUUCUCACUGUUGAAGACUGUUCAGAGUUUCCUCAAUGCAGACUCUGAUGGAGGGAACAUGAUUGAGUGGU
ensembl:snoRNA U3 Small nucleolar RNA U3